ensembl:snoRNA
CUGCACAGUUCAGAAAACCCCUUCUGAUGUUUCUCAAACCAAAAGCUAUUUGGGAGCAGGAUAUAUCCUUAGCAUGCUACAUUAAGAAAAGAGUUCAUAGGGCUGCCAGCCUUACAGUAGAGGUUGAGUAGUAGUUUAUUUCUCCUACAGAA